GUGGGGAAUCUUGCGCAAUGGGUGAAAGCCUGACGCAGCCAUGCCGCGUGAAUGAUGAAGGUCUUAGGAUUGUAAAAUUCUUUCACCGGGGACGAUAAUGACGGUACCCGGAGAAGAAGCUCCGGCUAACUUCGUGCCAGCAGCCGCGGUAAUACGAAGGGGGCUAGCGUUGCUCGGAAUUACUGGGCGUAAAGGGCGCGUAGGCGGACAGCUUAGUCAGAGGUGAAAGCCCAGGGCUCAACCUUGGAAUUGCCUUUGAUACUGGCUGUCUUGAGUUUGGGAGAGGUGAGUGGAACUCCGAGUGUAGAGGUGAAAUUCGUAGAUAUUCGGAAGAACACCAGUGGCGAAGGCGACUCACUGGCCCAAUACUGACGCUGAGGCGCGAAAGCGUGGGGAGCAAACAGGAUUAGAAACCCGAGUAGUCC
rnacentral:rRNA from 1 species